rnacentral:ncRNA from 1 species
CUGGUUGAUCCUGCUAGUAGUCAUAUGCUUGUCUCAAAGAUUAAGCCAUGCAUGUGUAAGUAUGAACUAAUUCAGACUAUGAAACUGCGAAUAGCUCAUUAAAUCAGUUAUAGUUUGUUUGAUGGCAUCUGUUACUCGAAUAAUCGUAGUAAUUCUAGAGCUAAUACAUGCAAUCAACCUCGACUUCUGGAAAGGAUGCAUUUAUUAGAUAAAGGUCGACGUAGGCUCUACCCGUUGCUUCGAUGAUUCAUGAUAACUCGACGGAUCGCACGGCCAUCGUUCCAGCGACGCAUCAUUGAAAUUUUUGCCCUAUCAACUUUCAAUGGUAGGAUAGUGGUCUAUCAUGGUGGUGACGGGUGACGGAGAAUUAUGGUUCGAUUCCGGAGAGUGAGCCUAAGAAACAGCUACCACAUCCAAGGAAGGCAGCAUGUGCAAAUUACCCAAUCCUGAAACAGGGAGGUAGUGACAAUAAAUAAUAAUAUCGGGCACUACAUAGAUCCUUAAAGACAGGGAUUUGAACCUCUAGAAGAGAUGGAUGGAGAUGAUUAAGGACUAUGAU